UUUACUAAACAUUUUUCUACUGUUUUACUAAACAUUUUUUCAUAUGCACCUUGCCUUUAGUCUUUGGAAUUAAAAAUACUGUUGUAAUCGACACCUGUGUACAUGGAUAAAAUAUUCAAGUAUUUCUGAAUAUAGUCAUUUGAAAAGAGAGUACAGUAAGUACUUUACAUGUAUUGUUAAAUAAAUAUUGUCCCCACUGUUUUACCUGGUACUUAAAGUGUUUAUUUGUAUCAGACAAAUUCAUAAAAGUUAUUACUAGUUUGUAAUGUUUCUUUUUAUAAAGAAUGGGCAUACAAUUUUAUUAAAUAUCUUUUAGUGUCCUUUGAAAUGACCAUGUUUUUUCCCCUUAUUCUAUUUUUAUAUGUAUUACAGUAGUCCAUCUCCACCAUUAAACUAGCUUUGCGUUUCUGGGAUUAAAAACUCAUUUGUCAUUUGACAUAUGCUAACGCUGACAUUCUUUGAGUAAAUAAAAUAAAAAACAGGAGUAUACCAAUAUCCACCAACAUACCCUGCUGCUUUAUUCUGGUUACUGACUGUGCUUUCUGUCUGAAAUUGUCUGCUGUGUCCCCAACAGAUGACUCUAUUUAGUAACUACAGACCCUGAGUCAGGCUUUCAGAAUACCCUUCUUUUUAUUUAUUUAGUAGAGAUGAGAUCUUGCUAUGUUGCUGGCCUUGGUCUCGAAAUCCUGGCCUCAAGUACUCCUCUCUCCCCUGCCUCCCAAAGUGCUGGGAUUACAGGCAUAAGCCACUGUGCCUGGCCAGAAUGCCCUUCUAAUGAUGCUUCCAUGGACUUCUCGUUUACUCUGAUUUUCUUUCUCUUGUUUUUGAAGCUGUUCCUUUAGAGGUUUGGAUAAAAGUCUCUCCUGAUAAUCCUCAAAGCCUGAUGGGGACACCUAUUCCUGGAGAACACUCUGCAUUCUGAAACUCAUUCUGUCCUAAAUGGGUCCCGUAUCUCCUCUCAACAGCAGAGAAAUACAACAAACAUUCCUGUAGGCCUGGGACUGUCACUUCCCUUGUAUCUGUUCAUGGACCACAAUACCUUGCCUGCUUCAGGGCCACAAGUGUUUAUCAUCUCUCUCUUGUCUGUGCCCUGCAUAGAAGUGAUCUGCCCUCACAUCCAACACUCCAGUUUAGACUCCAGUAAACUCUUACUGGUCGGUUCGAAUAGCCUUUUAAUAACUUCCCUCUAUCUUUCCACUUGCUUUAUAUUGACAUCAUAUUCAUUAUUUCCCCUGCAUCUUGCUGCCUGUAUCAUGGAUGAUGUCUGCAUCACAAGGACCAGGAUGCCAUCUAGGAACAAUAGGGCAGUGAUCUGGGAGGAACCCAGGUCCCGAACAUUGUGUGGAGUACAGCUGUCCUAAGCCUGGGACUGCACUGUGUGUGUGUUUACUUUAACCUGAGCUUGUGAGAGCUCUGGGUAAUAUAAAUAGAAUAGCUCCUUUAGCAAGUGUCUUAUUCAGUUUGGGCUGCUAUAACAAAAACGCCCUAUACUGGUGGCUUAAAUAACAAUUUAUUUCUCAUAAUUUUGGAGGCUAGGAAGUCCAAGAUCCAGGCACUGGUAGAUCUGGCAUCACGUGGGGGCCUGCUUCCUGGCUUGUAGAAACAGAAAGUAUAAAAUGGUAUUUGCCAGGGGCUGGGUGAAAUGAGUUAUUGUUGAAUGGGUAUAGUUUCCAUUUUGUAAGAUUUAAGUUAAAAGAAAAACUGUAGCCAAAUUAAAUUUAAAGGAGUUUAAUUGAGCAACGAAUGACUCGCUCCCAGAAUCAUAGCAGAUUCAAAGAGACUUCAGUGCAGCCACAUGGUACAAGAAGAUUUAUAGACUAAAAAAGGGAAAUGAUGUACAGAAAUCGAAAGUGAGGUA